GACGAACGCUGGCGGCGUGCUUAACACAUGCAAGUCGAACGGAAAGACCCUGCUUUUGUGGGGUGCUCGAGUGGCGAACGGGUGAGUAACACGUGAGUAACCUGCCCUUGACUUUGGGAUAACUUCAGGAAACUGGGGCUAAUACCGGAUAGGAGCUCCUGCUGCAUGGUGGGGGUUGGAAAGUUUCGGCGGUUGGGGAUGGACUCGCGGCUUAUCAGCUUGUUGGUGGGGUAGUGGCUUACCAAGGCUUUGACGGGUAGCCGGCCUGAGAGGGUGACCGGCCACAUUGGGACUGAGAUACGGCCCAGACUCCUACGGGAGGCAGCAGUGGGGAAUAUUGCACAAUGGGCGGAAGCCUGAUGCAGCAACGCCGCGUGCGAGAUGACGGCCUUCGGGUUGUAAACCGCUUUCGCCUGUGACGAAGCGUGAGUGACGGUAAUGGGUAAAGAAGCACCGGCUAACUACGUG
rnacentral:rRNA from 1 species